UCUUCUCCCAUACUAUUAACAAUUCAUCAUAUAGUGGUGAGGGUUUUUGGUUUUGUUUUUAAGCUGAAAUCAUUGCCCCUUUUCACCAUACUUUCUUUUCCUUUCGCAUAGACACACAGCAUCCUCAAAACACUGGGAAGAAAAGAUAGACAAAAUGAGGAAGGAAAUUGAGACAACACAGAAUUAUCUAAUGGAUAUUAAGAACCGCAUAAUACCACCCUUUUUUAAAUCUGAAUUGAACCAGUUGUAUCAGUCUCAGUAUAAUCAUCUGGACAGUCUUUCCAAAAAACUGCCUUCUUUUACAAAGAAAAAUGAAGAUGCAAAUGAAACAGCUGUUCAAGAUACAUCUGAUCUUAAUCUAGAUUUCAAGCCACAUAAGGUUUCAGAACAGAAAUCCUCAAGUGUGCCUAAUCUUCUAAAACCAGAGAUUUCUGCAGAUAAGAAGGAUUUCACUGCUCAGAACCAAACUGAAAAUUCAACAAAAUCUCCUGAAGAACCAGAAUCUUAUGAGCCCGUGAAAAUUCCAACCCAGUCCUUGCUGCAGGAUGUUGCGGGACAAGCAAGAAAAGAAAAA
rnacentral:sRNA from 1 species